GCCUGCGCGGAAGAUGUAACGGGGCUAAACCAUGCACCGAAGCUGCGGCAGCGACACUUUAGUGUUGUUGGGUAGGGGAGCGUUCUGUAAGCCGUUGAAGGUGUCCUGUGAGGGGUGCUGGAGGUAUCAGAAGUGCGAAUGCUGACAUAAGUAACGAUAAAGCGGGUGAAAAGCCCGCUCGCCGGAAGACCAAGGGUUCCUGUCCAACGUUAAUCGGGGCAGGGUGAGUCGACCCCUAAGGCGAGGCCGAAAGGCGUAGUCGAUGGGAAACGGGUUAAUAUUCCCGUACUUGGUGUUACUGCGAAGGGGGGACGGAGAAGGCUAUGUUGGCCGGGCGACGGUUGUCCCGGUUUAAGCGUGUAGGUGUGUGUUCCAGGUAAAUCCGGUUCACUUUAACACUGAGGCGUGAUGACGAGGCACCACGGUGCUGAAGCAACAAAUGCCCUGCUUCCAGGAAAAGCCUCUAAGCAUCAGGUAACAUCAAAUCGUACCCCAAACCGACACAGGUGGUCAGGUAGAGAAUACCAAGGCGCUUGAGAGAACUCGGGUGAAGGAACUAGGCAAAAUGGUGCCGUAACUUCGGGAGAAGGCACGCUGACACGUAGGUGAAGUGAUUUACUCAUGGAGCUGAAGUCAGUCGAAGAUACCAGCUGGCUGCAACUGUUUAUUAAAAACACAGCACUGUGCAAACACGAAAGUGGACGUAUACGGUGUGACGCCUGCCCGGUGCCGGAAGGUUAAUUGAUGGGGUCAGCGCAAGCGAAGCUCCUGAUCGAAGCCCCGGUAAACGGCGGCCGUAACUAUAACGGUCCUAAGGUAGCGAAAUUCCUUGUCGGGUAAGUUCCGACCUGCACGAAUGGCGUAAUGAUGGCCAGGCUGUCUCCACCCGAGACUCAGUGAAAUUGAACUCGCUGUGAAGAUGCAGUGUACCCGCGGCAAGACGGAAAGACCCCGUGAACCUUUACUAUAGCUUGACACUGAACAUUGAGCCUUGAUGUGUAGGAUAGGUGGGAGGCUUUGAAGCGUGGACGCCAGUCUGCGUGGAGCCGACCUUGAAAUACCACCCUUUAAUGUUUGAUGUUCUAACGUGGACCCGUAAUCCGGGUUGCGGACAGUGUCUGGUGGGUAGUUUGACUGGGGCGGUCUCCUCCUAAAGAGUAACGGAGGAGCACGAAGGUUGGCUAAUCCUGGUCGGACAUCAGGAGGUUAGUGCAAUGGCAUAAGCCAGCUUGACUGCGAGCGUGACGGCGCGAGCAGGUGCGAAAGCAGGUCAUAGUGAUCCGGUGGUUCUGAAUGGAAGGGCCAUCGCUCAACGGAUAAAAGGUACUCCGGGGAUAACAGGCUGAUACCGCCCAAGAGUUCAUAUCGACGGCGGUGUUUGGCACCUCGAUGUCGGCUCAUCACAUCCUGGGGCUGAAGUAGGUCCCAAGGGUAUGGCUGUUCGCCAUUUAAAGUGGUACGCGAGCUGGGUUUAGAACGUCGUGAGACAGUUCGGUCCCUAUCUGCCGUGGGCGCUGGAAGACUGAGGGGGGCUGCUCCUAGUACGAGAGGACCGGAGUGGACGCAUCACUGGUGUUCGGGUUGUCAUGCCAAUGGCACUGCCCGGUAGCUAAAUGCGGAAAAGAUAAGUGCUGAAAGCAUCUAAGCACGAAACUUGCCCCGAGAUGAGUCUUCCCUGAGACCUUGAGUCUCCUGAAGGAACGUUAAAGACGAUGACGUUGAUAGGCCGGGUGUGUAAGCGCAGCGAUGCGUUGAGCUAACCGGUACUAAUGAACCGUGAGGCUUAACCUUACAACGCCGAAG
rnacentral:rRNA from 1 species